CGGGAGGGCGCUGAUGGCUUUUCCAGAGAGGAAGCGGGGGAAGGUGCCAGGAAGAGAUAAGGUGGGAGGCCGCGCCGGGCCGGGGCGCGGGUCCCGGGCUCCGGGGUUUGUCCGGGUUUCCGGAGCCGCCCCCCCGCCUGGCGGGGGCACCAGGUGUCCGGCCCGACCCCGCCCCUCUGUCCCACGGUCCCGGGCCCCGGCUCCCCGCCGCUGUCCCGUCCUCCGCUUCCCCGAGGGGCCGUGGGGGCAGGAGGGCGAGGCAGAGCGGGGAGCGAGAGAUGGACAGAGAGAGGAGGCAGGGACGGGGACACAGAGACAGUCCAGGGCCCGGACGGGGGAGGAGAGAAAGGUGGAUCCCGCAGGCCUGGAGGCACCCGCUGGGCCACGCCCUCCCAAGGAGGAUUCCUGGGGUGGGGGUGGGGGUGGGGGUGGGGGCCCUGACUCACCCCCUCUCUGCUGCUCCCGCAACCACCACCUCGGGCUCUCCACCUCUCACAACCUUCCAGGCCUCCCUGCCUGCCCAGCUUCCUGCCCCACCUCCUCCCUGGCAGCCUCCCCUAAGAAUGUUCCAUUUGGCCUCCCAGAUCGCUCUCAAACCAGUGCUCUCCUCCCCCUCCCCGAGGCCCUGCUCUGAUCCAGCCUCCUCCCCGUUCCUCGGUCCCCAGCCUCCUUCCUGGUCUCUGGCCCCAGUCUCGCGGCCCUUGAAUCCACCCGCUAGAAGGCAGCCCGAGUAGGACUCCGUCCCUCCUGUGCUCCGAACCCUUCCAUGGCUCCCCAGCACCCUCCCCCCCCCCCCUUGCCAGGACGCCGCGCAGCUUCUAGGCCACAGCCCUGGGUGGUCUGACUCCCACCCACCUCCCCAGCCUCGGAUUCAGUUCCUCGCGCUGUCUACACCGGGUGCAACACUGCCAUCUUGCCUCUCUCUUGAACUGGCCAUGUGCUGAUCUCCGGUCCAGGCACUCGCUGGUCCCACUAUCUAGAAUUCCCCUCCUCACCCUGCGGUUUGCAGCUCAGACGCCCUCUCCUCCAAGAAGCCCCCUGCCCCUGCCCCCCCCCCCCCCCCAGCUCCCCAGGACGGGUAGCCCUGUGCACGCUGCGCCAUCGCUGUCUGGGGCUGGGUCUGUCUCCUCCCCUGAACUGCUCCGGAUCCUCAGUACCGCCCAACACAGGGCCAGGCACAGGGGGGUGUGGUUGAAGAAGGGUGUCUGUUCAAAGGCCCUCUGUUCAGCGGUGAACCCAGAAGCUCCAAAGUACGCAGAACGCAAGGCAGUCAUGACCGCCGCGAAGAAAACUACAGCAAGCCUUCAAGCAAGACGGGCGCGGGAGAGUUCUAAAAACGGAGGGCGGGCAAGGCAGCUUUCCUGAGCAGGUUAAGCAAAGUCUCGUUGGAGGUGAGGCGUGCGCCAAGCGGACAGCCAGGUAGGAGAGGGGCGAGGAGUGGGGGGCGCUUUCCAGGAAGCGGGAACGGUAGGUGCAAAGGCCCUGAGGUCAGAGCCAGGAGGACCGCGUGAAGGUGCAACGAAUGACGGGAAGGGAGCGCAAGAGGAGGGCGGAGAGGAAACGCAUCGUGGAGGUGGGUGGAGAGGCUGUGGGCCACUGGGGGCGGUGCGGGGGGAGGGCCACGCCACCUUGUGCCACAAUGACCCAGCCUGGAGGAAUCUGUUAGACCAGAGAACUAACCAAUCGGAGAGCCGAGAAGUCGGCGACUGGCAGCCAAGCGGACCGGACGGGGAGGCGGGACCAGGGCCGUCCCCGCCCCCGGCCACCGCUCCCCGCCCCACCCCAGUCCCCCCGCAGCGCGGCUCACCCGCACCAGCCGGGCCCUCUUCACCAGGUCGUUGAGCUUGCGCAGGGCGGCGUGGCGUGGCAGGCCCUGGAUGUCCCGGAACAGAUCCUGCUCCUCCAACUCGAAGAGGCGCCGGUUGUCGGGCACCAGGAGGGGCUGGGACCAGAAGGAGCCGAUGUAGACGCGCAGCACCUCGGGCGUGCCCACCACCUUGCCCAGCGCCCACAUGAGCGCCCCGUAGACGCGCAUCAGCUGCUGGGUCUCCACCAUGUCCGCCUUGUUGAGCACCACGCGGAUCUUGUCCUCGUGGCCCCGGAGGGCGCCGAUGGCCUCCGAGAACUCGUCCGAGAUCUCCAGCUUGUGCGCGUCGAAGAGCAGGAUGAUGAGGUCCACGCGCUCCGCGAACCAGCGCAGCACGGCCGGGAAAUCGUAGCCUGGGGGCCGAUCCACACGUAUAGGUUGUCAAAAUACUGAAGUGUUUCUUAACAGACUCUCCGUGCUUCUAUGACACCCCCCACCCCUCCGCGAGUCUCCCAAGUGCCACCAUCACCCCAGCCCCGUCCUAGGACUUCUGGAUCUCCCCACAAUCCAGCCACCAAAGAGGUCACGUUGGCUCUGGCUAUGCUUUUGCUAGAACAGAUGGUAAAUAUUUUGAGUUUAUUUAACAGUAUUUACAUCUCUGUAAUGUAAACAGUAUUUACAGCUCUUCUGUGUGCCAGGCUCUAGCCUGGGCACCAGGGAUGCCACAGAGAACACAGAGACAGGUCCUUGCCUUUCGUGGAGUAUCUGGCUCGACAACUGGUUCCUGUAUUCCUUCCUCCCUUCCUUCCUUCCUUCCUUCCUUCCUUCCUCAUUCACUCGUUCGUUCACACUGUUCACUCUUCUGCUGCUCGCUUGUUCACUCAAACAGCGAUGCUCAGGGGAGCAGAGAGGAGUGUUGGCAACCCCCUGACGUGGCAGCCAGGAAGACCUGGGUUUGAAUCCCGACUCUGCCCCCCACCCCACCCACAGCUGUGUGACCUUAAGCGAGUAGGAAACCUCUCUGAACUUGCGUGGCCUCUUCUGUAAAAUGGAAGUCGUGACGGAACAUCACCUGUCGGACUGUGGUGAGGACAAGGGAAUAGAAACGAGCCAAUAUACAUAAAGAGCCGAAGGGGCGCCCGGGUGGCUCAGUCCGUUGAGCAUCUGAUUCUUGAUCUGGGCUCAGGUCAUGAGCCCAGGGUCAUGGGAUCAAGCUCCAGUUUGGGCUCCCGUGCUGAUCUCUCUCU